UUUUAAACAAAGGACCACACCCGCAAAUAAGAAAUAACGAGCAAUCAAUAAAUGAAGUGGAUUCCCGGGGACUUUUAGUAUGUUGUUCCUAAAGGUAUUCUGAACAUAUUCUGAGAAAUCCAGCUUGUUACUAAUUUGUUCCGGGUUGGGCCUAUUUUUGAGCUAAUACUCUUGGCCUAUUGUAUCUCUGCAAUGCCUAACUUACUCGCAUCGCAACACAAAUUAAUAACCAUAAUAAACACUAUCCCCAGAGGUCACAUAACGAUUUUAAUGCAAAUCUGCCACUAGGGGGCAUAAGCAAAAAAGUGUUUUUGCCCGUAUUGACCUCAGAUCAUCAAAAGUUUGGUAUCGCUGGAAUUUUUGGGUGAAGCCGAAUCCAACGCACUCUAUGAUGUCAUAUUUACCAUUAUGAAUUUCUCCUCAUUUUGACAUUUUAAAAAAUCAACAAAAAUCACACAUUUUUGUCUGAUCCUCCUACAAUUUUUAUCACACCACCAUUGCACUAUUCUGCAUCUACGCUGUAAUUUACAGAGCAAUAGCUGAAAGCACCGGUGCACAGUAGCCAAUCAAUAUUGACAAACACACCGUCCAAACAGGAAGUUAGCUCAUAUCUCAGCAAUACCUUCACGGAUCUUAACGAAAGUUCUUAAGGGCUCUGCAUACUUCACGUGCGCACUUUGGCGCAUUUGGCGCGAGAACCAUUAAAAUGUGGCAGACCAUUCAUAGUCAAAAGCGCCAUUUACAGGCUUUUGCUUGCAUUUUCGGAAGUGUGCCCUCUGCUGUUCAUGAGAGAAACAGCAGAUUCUGUCGCAGAAAUGGCAGAAACUCGCAGCAUGAGUUCUACAGAUGUAUAAAAAUAGAAAGCCAAAUACGACUGCUGUAAUGCUACUGAACGUCUGACUUAUGACUUACCACAAUGAAACAUAGAUUUUUGUUGUAGCCUACAUUACCAGAUCAUUCCAAGACCAUGUGAGAGCAUUGUUCUGGUUGCAGAAUUUAUAAAUAGAUCGCCGAACACAACGUGCUUCUGAACAAAGUAAACAAUUGUUUCACUGAACAACAUUUUAGGGAGAAGAUAAAAUAACUCUCUAGGACAUUUUAUUAUCCUCAAAAUGAUGCAGGAUCCAUUCUGUAGUAGCCUACAGUAGCUGUAGCCUCUCUUCGCAACUCCUGCUUUGUCUGCCUACCUGCAUGGUCGCUGGUGGCGCACGCCAAGUUACAAAAAAUGUGGGGUGCACGAACUCGCGCCACGCCAGCUGCGACAGGGGCGUGUGACGUAAUUUUGGGUCACGUGACGGCGCGCGCCAUCGUCGCGAGUGAGGUAUGAAGGAGGUUAGCGCCAGUCACGCCAAGUAUGAAUCCGCCUUUACACAUGAUCUUCUGUACACCCAGAGGGUACCUACCGACUUUGGUGCAAAUCGGCCACUGGGGGGCGCUACAGUUGGUGAAAAUGUGUUUUGGUCAAUAUAGUACUACUCCAAACAGUAAGUUAGCUCAUAUCUAGAUGGUUAACUGUAUGUUGUGUAGGGCAAGGCAUACAUGAAGGGCAACGAAUGCAAGACGGGCAAGCAUACUCCAGCAUUUUCUGUGAGGAAAUGCAAUCUCGUUAGGCCUAUACUGGGAGCUCAAUUUACGAGGCCAAACCCAUACACAUUACCCCGGAAUGCUAGCUUUGACAGUAGCCUAUCCACCAGCUAUAAUUCUUACAUAGAAUAUUUUGUUGCGAUUUGUGACUGGAAAUUGCAGUAGCAUUUUUUUUUUAGCAUUUAGCCCUAUGGGCUCCCUUUUCCAUUCAUGUUCCACUCUGUUUCUACAUGCCCGCGUUCGCCAACUAGUGGACACCCAAGAGGAACUGCAAAGCUAACUGGCUACAAUGGUCCCAAUAUAUAGCUUCUCCGCUAUUCUAUUCUAAUUUCUCUGCCGUCACCCACUUGCGAGCUCUAUGCACAAGUGCAUUUACUUUUUGUUCCAGAUAGAAGUGAAUAUAUUAAAACAAUGUAACACGAUUGAAAUUUGGGGGGAUUGGCAUUUCGAUUCCGAUUCCGGCCCGGCCCAAAUACAAGUAGGACGGUAGAGCGAUGGCGAGAAGAGGCGCACCAGCUACGAAAUGCAGAUCUCUCGCCAAGCUGUUUUUAAAUAAUCUCAUACAGUAAUUUAGCUAAUAAUACAAGCGACCCAUCCAUGGAAGGAACAGAACAGGAAACUCAGUGGUAUAACUUGCAGACUUUCCGGGGGAAGUCUGAAUUUCUAACUUUAGAAGAAAAAAACUACUUCCACAUCCGGUGAGCAGCAUAGCAAGCCAUCAGCGAGGGUUGUCAGAUUGUUACAGCCAUUGGUGGUCGGGGUAGCAGAGUUGCCUACGGAGCCAUUCACCUGCAUGUGUGUGUGUCGUGAUAUAGGCACAGGCCUACAAAAGAGCUGUCCUGGCUCCCACCUGGACAAUGCAAU